CAAUAGCGUAUAUUAACGUUGUUGCAGUUAAAAAGCUCGUAGUUGGAUUUCUGGAGGGAGCGUCGGCCCGUAUUUACGAGUGCGUGACGUCUCUGUCCAUCCUUGCGGGAAGGCACGGCAUUGAUUUGUUGUGUCGGAUCGCAUCAUUUACUGUGAAAAAAUUAGAGUGUUCAAAGCAGGCUUUCGCUUGAAUACAUUAGCAUGGAAUAAUAAGAUAGGACUUUGGUGCUAUUUUGUUGGUUGAGCCUAAAGUAAUGAUUAAUAGGGAUAGUUGGGGGCACCUGUAUUGCGUUGACAGAGGUGAAAUUCUUGGAUUUACGCAAGACAAACAGCUGCGAAAGCGUCUGCCAAGGAUGUUUUCAUUAA
rnacentral:rRNA from 1 species